rnacentral:rRNA from 1 species
UUAAGUCCGCUAACGAGCGCAACCCUCGCUGUGUGUUACAAGUGUCACACGGGUACUGCCGGUCUUAAGCCGGAGGAAGGUGGGGAUGACGUCAAGUCAGCAUGGCCUUUAUGUCCUGGGCUACACACACGCUACAAUGGCCAACACAAUAGGUUGCUAAGCCGCGAGGUGGAGCCAAUCCUCAAAGUUGGUCUCAGUUCAGAUUGCAGGCUGCAACCCGCCUGCAUGAAGAUGGAGUUGCUAGUAACCGCAGGUCAGCUAUACUGCGGUGAAUACGUUCCCGGGGCUU